rnacentral:rRNA from 1 species
CCCUUAGAUGUCCUGGGCCGCACGCGCGUUACACUGACGAAUGCAACGAGCUUAUAACCUUGGCCGAAAGGUCUGGGUAAUCUCCAAAUUUCGUCGUGAUGGGGAUAGAUUAUUGCAAUUAUUAAUCUUCAACGAGGAAUGCCUAGUAAGCGCAAGUCAUCAGCUUGCGUUGAUUACGUCCCUGCCCUUUGUACACACCGCCCGUCGCUCCUACCGAUUGAAUGGUCCGGUGAAGCGUUCGGACCGUGGCCUUUGGACGGUUCGCCGUCUGUUGGCUGCGGGAAGUUCGUUAAACCUUAUCAUUUAGAGGAAGGAGAAGUCGUAACA